rnacentral:rRNA from 1 species
GACGAACCGUGCGAACGUUGUUCGGAAUCACUGGGCUUAAAGGGCGCGUAGGCGGGUUGGCAAGUCUGCGGUGAAAGCCCCCAGCUUAACUGGGGGAAGUGCCGUGGAUACUGCCGGUCUCGAGGAGGGUAGGGGCAUCUGGAACACUGGGUGGAGCGGUGAAAUGCGUUGAUAUGUGUCGGAACACCAAUGGCGAAGGCAGCUCUCUGGACGGGUACUGACGCUCAUUUGCGAAAGCCGAGGUAGCGAACAGG